rnacentral:lncRNA from 1 species
GGUAAAAUUGCACUUAGUUUAAUUCUAGAUAAUAUUUUUCUUAACUUAUUAUAAGUUUAGAUAUUAGAUAGAUUGCAUUUUAGGAUUAUUUGGGUUAAGAUAAUAUUUUAGUUUAAAUUAGGAUUUGGUUCAACCUAAUUCCUGAUACAAAUUGAAUAUAAUCUUAAUCUAGUUAGAUAAUUUUCACAUUUUAUUUAAUCCCGAAUUUCAUAAAAAAUACAAAAAAAUGUCAUAAGUUGAACUAGUUUUAGGAUAAAAUGCAUUCUUUUAGGAAAAAUGAAAAAAUGUCAUACGGACGUCAUUAGGGUUAGAUUUAUUGAGAUUCAUGCCAUUUAGUAUUUUUGCUAGGCCCAUUUAAUUAGAAAUUACAUGUCAUUAAAAUUAGGUCAUUUAGUUAAUAUCGCAUUGCAUAUUGCAUGAUUUUCAUUAAUUAAGUGAAAAAAAAAAGAAAUUGCGUAUUAAUUAGAAACCAUAUCUAGGGUUGUUGAUGUAGAUUUUAAUUUAACAUCACAGAUGCUGAAGUUCUGUUCGAAGAUGACGAUGCUGAUAUCUCCUACUUUUGGGUUCCCA